rnacentral:lncRNA from 1 species
AGCAAUGCACUCAGACUCCUCUCUGCUGUGGAGAGCUUUUUUUUUUUUUUUUCAUAUUAAACUUUCACUCCAACUUUAUCUUUGUGUUUACAAUUCUUAAUUUUUUUGUCUUGGAUAAAGAACAAAAAACCUGGAGUACUUCUUCAGACAACAAGAAACUUCCAAAUUAAGGUGCAUUGGCAAGAAUGCAACAUAUUUUGAUCCAUUGGCUUGGAAGGAGGGAAUUCAUCAGAAGGGUGAGUAAGAGCCGACUUUUACCUUUAACUAUUUACAUUCAUCUAUGAGUCUUCUCAUCUAUUCCAAUCUAGUUUCCUUUCACAGAGGACCUAAGCCAACAUGUGGGAUUGGAAGAAGGUCCUAGGAAAAUUCAAGAUUUCUGGCUGGGACUAACCCUCAGUGUUAUCUGAAGGUCCUCAGUGUUAUCUGAAGACUACUCCAAUCCUUGACAGCCCACCAGUGUGUCAGCACAAGGACCUUCCCUCUUACAUUUUCCUUCUUUUCUCCCAUGGCUAUUAUGUCACCUAUCUCUUCAUUGUAUACAAUGUUGCAGGUGUUUUUUCAGCCUAGAGAUAUAAUCUUGCUUGGUAGAGUAAGUUGGUGUCUUUUUUUGUAACCAGGAAUGUAACUUCAAGAAACUGUGUUUUUGUGAUUUCCUCGAGACAGAGGAGUUCAAGAUUUCUGUCUAAGUAUUCACUUAGUAAGGUCUCUUCUACCCCUCAAUAAUAGACAUUCAUGACACUAUAUGGUCAAAUAUUUCACCCCAAGUGAAUAUCCUCUUUUCUCUCCAUUUGGAUUGUUUCUUCCCUCUACAUUUGGGUUGGUUUUUCCCUCCCCAUUUGGGUUGGUUUUUCCCUCCAUGUAAAAUCCCAGCAUUGCCCAAUAAAUUUAAACAAUUCUUUAUGAAACAAGUUAAUUUUCUUGUGCUGGGAGGAAUAUUAUAGGAACAGCCAAUUAAACUGAAACCUCUUUUUCUAACUUCUGCCUGAAAGGAUGGAGUCACAGUUUUUACCUAAUAUUUCAGACCCUACAGCACUACGUAGGGGAAUGGGAUUUAUUUUUCCCCACUGGGAGCCUUGUUGGCCCUUUGUCUAAAAACUCUGGUUAUCUCCCUUUUAUAUCCCUCUAUUAGAGACUAGGCUUCAUGCCCCAUUUGAAAACAGCAAAGCUCCAGCUUUAACAGUAAGAGGACGGCCAUUCCAUUUAUAUGUUCUUUUAAGGCACCUGUUCUACAUUCAGCUACAUUGGCAUUUACACCAGAAAUGGGUUUUAUGUUUGAAAGUGAAUCAGUCUCAUUCUUUGGGGUUUCAAUGUUUCACUAGGGCCAUAGCAAGGGAAACCAAAGAUAAUACUAAAACACUUCCUCCAUUAAGGAGGGAAGUCCAGCAGAUGCCCAGAUGCAACUGUCACAUAGUCUUUCCUGAGACCCAUCCAUCAAGGAGUGACCCAGACCCAAGUCUACGAGGUCAAAGAAUAAUCACCAUCAGAGGACUAAAGCCACUUGGGUGAGCAUGGCUUGCCCCAUUGCUUAGCUCCUCUGCUACCAUCAUUUGAAGGUCACACUUGAAACCACUGGUGGCAUAUUCAACACAAUGCUGGGACCCAGGAGCCAAGGAGAAAUAACAGUCUGUGGGACACUCCUACUGUCUUCUUCUCCUCCCUGGGUCACACUGAAAAAAAGCAGGAGACAGAGGGAUGCCUCUUUUCUUGUCUAUUUUUCUAGAGAGGUGACAGUCCAACUUUAAUCUGCACCCCUCUGAGUGCACUCUGAAACUUUUAGAACUACUUUGACCCGAUGACUUUGAAGAAAAAGGUGACCAUUUUCUUUUGCACGAGAGCAUGACAUUUUUUACUAAACCUUCACAAGCAUUAUGAGAUCAACCCAGCUUUUUUAACAGUCAUGGCAGGUAGUCCCAUGGAGAAUAAUUCCGCAGAGUUAGAAAAGCAAUUUCUAAAGAAACCAUCUCAGAAUGCCCCUUAUUAAUCACCACCUCAAGUUUUCUUUUCAUUGCAGGAACUUACACAAAUAAAGGGGGAACUAGGUAGGUUCUCUGAUGACCCUAAUAAACAUAGAGAGGUUUUCCAAAAUUUGACCCAAAUGUUUCAUGUUACAUGGAGAGAUGCUAUGCUACAUUUAAGCCAAAACCCUAACUGUUACAGAAAAGCAGGCAGUCUUGCAGGCAGCAGAAACAUUUGGAGAUAAACAGCGUAACUCCUAUAGCCAGUCUAAAAAUCUUGAAAGGAAAAAAUCUAAGGGAUAAAAGAGGAUAAGGAGAGACAGGGUCCCCAUUCCCAAUAGUAAGAAAAAUGAGGCUCCCUUAAAAGCCCUAAUUGGAGCCUGAGUGAUCUCAUAAAUGAGUGGAAAUUAAAAGAAUUUCUGAUAUACAUUUAAAAAGACUUGGAAAUAAGCAGAACAAGACCUCUUAAUUACUCUCAACUGUAUGAGUUGCACCAGAAAAUAUAUGGAAAUCCACCUGCCUUCUUGGAGAGACUGAGAGAAGCUUUAGUAAGACACACUUCCCUGUCUUCCAGUUCAGUAAAAAACAGGUUCAAUACUCAGGCAGCCCCUGAUAUCAGAAGAAAGUUGCUGAAAUAGGCCCUGUCUAAAAAUCUUUCUAGUUUUUCUCACCAAACAAUCCCACAUUCCUAAGCCCUCUCCACUGUACUGUCUCAUUCACAAUCUUGCAAAACUUGACAGAAGCAUUUAGUCUUUUACUGUAACAUGGCCUGGUCCCAAUACACAUUAGAUAAUGACAGUCGAUGGCCCAAAAAUCAUACCUUUGACUUGCAAAUUCUCAGGAAGCUUAACAACUUUACAGCGAGGGAUGGCAAAUGGCAACUGGUUCUCUAUAUUCAGGCUUUCUUUGAUGUCUACCUUAAAUGUAACCUUCCACUGUGUCAAGCUUGCACUGCUCAUAAAAUCUUUCUUUUUAAUAAAAAUCCUCCCCAGGUCUUUCCUUACUAUGAAACUCCUUUUAACCCAGUAGAUAAAGCCCCUCUGUAUUCUUAUUCCCUGCAUCGACUCCUUGCCCAUCCAAAUCCUCUACCCCAGUGGCCCCUCCUGCCUCCAAACCCUUAGCCCCCAACCCAACUACUCGUUCUCCAUCUGUUACCAAUUCAAAAAUCACAUCUGCCUUUCCCUUUCUGGGAAGUGGCUGUGGUUAAAGGCAUUGCUCACAUUAAUUUCCCUUUCUCCAUGUAGGAUUUGUUGCAGAUCAAAGCUGAAUCAAACUUGACUUACAAAGCAAAAAGGCCCUUGGAAAACUCACUGCAUAUUUUGUGUACACAGUCCCUGUACAUGGUUUCUGAUCUGUGGUAAGUAAAAAAAUUACUUUCUAGCAGGCUGGGAAGCCCAAGUUAUCUUGGUCCCUCAAGAGAAGAGAAAUUCUCCAACUAAUAGGUAUUGGACAGUAAAAAUCCAUGGCUGGGCUUCGCUUUAAAAAGGUCUUAUCUCAGAUUCCUUCUUUGAAACAAAGUGCCAUAUAAACCAAUUUAAUAGGCAGAUGUAACAAAUAAUUAUUCUUGCUGCACUGUAUGCAAAUAACUGUCAAGUAUAGUAAAGCAAACCAGUCCUAUUAUAAUUUGUCUUUUAAUAAAAAUGGGAAACUGGAGAGACAAAAUUAUGUUUCAAAAAUGAUAGCACAUGGAUUGUUGAAUUCUAGUGUUUCCUAAUGUUUUUCUAUUUUUAUUAUUUUCCACUGCUUAAAUUAAACUCUAAUUUUUCUGGAUAUAAGUUUCCAUAUUAAGCUGUGAUUUCUUAAAGCCCUACAAACUGAAAAGUAAGUGUUUCAUCAAGUACUGCCUCUAACACAGGGCCACCACAGGAAUAAAUGUCUUCACUGCUGGUGCUGACAACUAAUAACUGAGGGUGCUGAGAAAACUUUCCCCCAAAGUCUAGUGAGUCCAUGAAAUGCAGGGUGAUUAAGAUGAUAUCUGAUACAGGAGUCAAUUCCUAAAUACAUCACUCAAGUCAAAGCCUAGAAAUCUAAGAAAGCAACCCAAACAGCCCAAAGAAACACCCUAAAUAUCAAUGUAAAAAAAUAGAAAAUAUUAAGCUGAAAAUCAUAAAAGAUAGGUGACUAAGUGAAAACUACUCAUUUUAUUCAGCCUCACACACCUCACCAAAUACUUUUGGUGUGUCUACCUCUUUUUUUAAGCCAAAUAUUAAAACAUUUUAAUGGAAAUUAUUUACUUUGCCACCCUUGUGGGAACUGCCUUACUCACUGCUAUUUGCAGUAGAACAAUAUGCUAUAGCAUCCUCAGGGUGGAAUAUCAGACAAAAAAAUCUCAAUUAUUAUAGCAUUUUCCCUAAUUAUUAUCCAGAUAGCAGGAAUAAUAGUUACUAAAAGAAAGUAACACAUGAGUUCUUCCAAACACAUGCUUCUGCCUCUCAUCAGGUAACAAAUGUUUCUAUAGCAACGAAUAGGGCUUAGUAAAAAACACUGCUAAAAACUUAAAGAAAAGGCUAAAAAGCUAAGGGAAUAUCAAAACAACCGAAUAGAUUCUUGGUUUGGAUUCAAAAUCAUAGGAUGAGUCAUCCCAUUCCUGGGACCUCUUCUAAUAAUAUACCUGGAACUAAUGUUCUUACCUUGCCUAAUUAACUUUUUUCAAAGAUUUUUAACUGAAAAUAUCAUGGCCAUUUUACAGACAACUACCCCAAAAUAUCUACAAAUGACAUUGCUCCUACAGUAAACCCAAGACCAGAAAACUCUCCAUCCCCUUGUCAGCAGGAAGUAGCCUGCAGUCCCUCCUCCUUUUUAUAACCAUAGGAUCUGGAUUGACAGAGCAGGACCACCACCUUGUUGGAACAACCCCUCAUUCUAAAGCUGACCUCAAUAAAAAACUGCUUAAAUCCAAAGGGUGUCAGCCUAAUGGCUAAGGUCAGCAUGACCAUAAACCACAGAUAACUUCUCUAACCAGAAACAUUCCAAACUCCUCCCCAACCAGAGAUAGGGUAGUCCUGAGAUAAACUCUGCUCUGGCUGGGAAAAUGCUAGCCCUGAGAUAACCCCCUUCUUGGUCAGAAAGAUGUCUGCCCCAAGAUAACCUUACCUCCUGCCAGAGAGAUUCCAACUCCGCUAUAAACUUCUCCACACACAUAAACAUUCCAAGCUUGUGAUAAGCCCCCUCAACCUAAAAGUGAUAUAUACUCAGCUUUUAAGAGAAAGUACUCCUGACUGAAAUUGGCCAGAAGCACCUCUCAGGUUUCCUCUAAAGAAAACCUGUCUUUACCUGCCAGCCGCAUUUCUUGUUUCUUUCCUCUUUAACUCCUACAGAAAUAAAAGCACAACAAGGUUUUCUUAAGAUUUCAAUGUGCUUUUUAGAAAAUCUUGUGAAGAGUUAUAAAAGGUACAUGAAAAUCUCACAUCAUGAUCAAACUGGUUAAAAUUGAAUAGGAUUACCUAUAAGCUUUCAUUAAAAAUUGGGGUUAACCAUUAAUAGUAAAAUAAUGCAAGGGUGAAAUUUAACUUGCUUGAACAGGGUUUUCAUGUAAUAGUAAAGACUGAUGAAUGGUUUUUGGCUUUUCAAAUUUUGACUCAUCAUUUUGGCAAGACAAAUAACUAUGUUAAUCUAAAAUUGUAUUUCAUAACAUCAAGUGUUUUAAAUUUCAAAUAUAUUUAACAGGCUUACCAAAAUCAAACUACAGUCUCAAGGUUGUCUUUCAUGACCUAGGGGUUUGGGUGCUACCGAGGACCCCUGGAGCAUCCAGAAGAGAGUUAAACAGGAUUAUUUAACAUGUUUGCAUACAUGAUGUCAGGCCUCUGAGCCCAAGCUAAGCCAUUAUAUUCCCUGUGACAUGAACGUAUACAUCCAGAUGGCUGAAAACAACUGAAGAUCCACAAAAGAAGUGAAAAUAGCCUUAACUGAUGACAUUCCAUGAUUGUGAAGUUUCUACCCCACCCUAACCGAUCAAUGUACUUUGUAAUCUCCCCCACCAUUAAGAAGGUUCUUUGUAAUUCUCCCGACCCCUGAGAAUAUACUUUGUGAGAUCCACCCACUGCCCACAAAACAUUUCUCCUAACUCCACCGUCUAUCCCAAAAGCUAUAAGAACUAAUGAUAAUUCCACCACCCUUUGCUGACUCUCUUUUUGGACUCAGCUCACCUGCACCCUGGUGAAAUAAACAGCCUGUUGCUCACACAAAGCUUGUUUGGUGACCUCUUCACAUGGAUGUAUGAGACACAUGCAAUUGCCAAAAUGAUAUUUAAUAUUUUCCAGGUUAUAUUUUGGGCAAUAAUAUUAACAUAUAUUUCAAAAUCAUAUAGGAUUUCUAAGGUUCUAGUAUCUGAACAUGUGCUAUUAAUCACAAUUAAGUGUGUUAAGUUGGUUUAUGGUGAACCAUAAAAAUAACCAAAUUUGUCCAACAUGUUCUUGACUGUAACUACCCUGGAAAUUUUGUCAUUUACUGACAAUUUUUGUCUUGUUUCAAUCUUCUUCUUCUUAAAAAAAAAUAGAUUAUAAUCAGCUGUAGAACUUUAACAGGGAUUCUUUCAAAUGCUGGUUUCUAAUAACAGAAAAACUUACAGGACACAUGAAAAGUAGAAACUGAACUAGUAGAAAACUAAAGCAAUAUUCUUGACUUAUGCUUGGAACAUUGCUGAUUCUUAUUUUGUUUUUCAGAGUCAAGGACACUUGUCUUGAGCUAGCUACACCCUUUCACAACUCAGUAAGGAGUGAAGACUGAUUUUGCAGAGCCAAUAAAGGCCCCUGGGGAAACUGGCCUCAUAUCUUGUCAUGAAGAUUUUAUACAGGUUUCCUAACCUGUGUGCUCACUGCUGCAAAGAAGAACAAGCACACAGGCAAAAAGUUUUCCCAGCAAGAACACUGCAGAUUUGAAUCCCACAGCUGUUUCAUUUCAAGCUUUAAAUUCAUCUGGUAACCCUCAUGGAACUCCAAUAGCAUCUAUAUAAAUGUGAGUGUCAAAAGACCAAUGAUGAGCACUUCUUUGUAUCCAGUUCUCUUUCUUUUUAUGUUGACAGAAUGCCAGGGUGAAAGGAAAGAUCAAUUGGACCAGAGCACAAGUGCUGCUCCAGUUACUUGGCAGAGUACCUAAUAGUGAUCCACCACAAUACCACCAUAUAUCUGUUUGGGAAUAAACAAGGGCAAGUUGACUGCUUAAGAGUGAUGACAUGCAACUCAGUCUCUUGCAACACCACCUGAGAAAAGGAAGCACUAGCAGGAAGAACAAAUUGAUGGAGAGGAAAAGUGAUGAAUACAGAUAAGAAGCACAGCUGGUGGAGGCUCAUGUGCCAGUUUACUGGGCCUCAGGACAUUCUCCUCUAGAAGGAGGAGACAGCAUGACCCCCACUUUCUUUUAUUUUAUUAUAAUUUAAGUUUUAGGGUACAUGAGCACAAUGUGCAGGUUAGUUACAUAUGUAUACAUGUGCCAUGCUGGUGUGCUACAGCCAUUAACUCAUCAUUUAGCAUUAGGUAUAUCUCCUAAUGCUAUCCCUCCCCCCUACCCCUACCCCACAACAGCCCCCAGAGUGUGAUGUUCCCCUUCCUGUGUCCAUGUGUUCUCAUUGUUCAAUUCACACCUAUGAGUGAGAAUAUGUGGUGUUUGGUUUUUUGUCCUUGUGAUAGUUUACUGAGAAUGAUGAUUUCCAAUUUCAUCCAUGUCCCUACAAAGGACAUGAACUCAUCAUUUUUUAUGGCUGCAUAAUAUCCCAUGGUGUGUAUGUGCCCCAUUUUCUUAAUCCAGUCUAUCAUUGUUGGGCAUUUGGGUUGGUUCCAAGUCUUUGCUAUUGUGAAUAGUGCCGCAAUAAAUGUACGUGUGCAUAUGUCUUUAUAGCAGCAUGAUUUAUAGUCCUUUGGGUAUAUACCCAGUAAUGGGAUGGCUGGGUCAAAUGGUAUUUCUAGUUCUAGAUCCCUGAGAAAUCACCAAACUGACUUCGACAAUGGUUGAACUAGUUUACAGUCCCACCAACAGUGUUAGUCCAUUUACAUUUAAAGUUAAUAUUAUUAUGUGUGAAUUUGAUCCUGUCAUUAUGAUGUUAGCUGGUUAUUUUGCUCGUUAGUUGAUGCAGUUUCUUCCUAGCUUUGAAGGUCUUUACAAUUUGGCAUGGUUUUGCAGUGGCUGAUACCGGUUUUUCCUUUCCAUGUUUAGUGCUUCCUUCAGGAGCUCUUUUAGAGCAGUAAUCUCUCAGCAUUUGCUUGUCUGUAAAGUAUUUUAUUUCUCCUUCACUUAAGAAGCUUAGUUUGGCUGGAUAUGAAAUUCUGGAUUGAAAAUUCUUUUCUUUAAGAAUGUUGAAUAUUGGCCCCCACUCUCUUCUGGCUUGCAGAGUUUCUGCCAAGACAUCAGCUGUUAGUCUGAUGGGCUUCCCUUUGUGGGUAACCUGACCUUUCUCUCUGGCUGCCCUUAACAUUUUUUCCAUCAUGUCAACUUUGGUGAAUCUGACAAUUAUGUGUCUUGGAGUUGCUCUUCUUCAGGAGUAUCUUCAUGGCAUUCUCUGUAUUUCCUGAAUCUGAAUGUUGGCCUACCUUGCUAGAUUGGCGAAGUUCUCCUGCAGAGUGUUUUCCAACUUGGUUCCAUUCUCCGCAUCACUUUCAGGUACACCAAUGAGACGUAGAUUUGGUCUUUUCACAUAGUCCCAUAUUUCUUGGAGGCUUUGUUCGUUUCUUUGUAUUCUUUUUUCUCUAAACUUCCCUUCUUGCUUCAUUUCAUUCAUUUCAUCUUCCAUCACUGAUACCCUUUCUUCCAGUUGAUUGCAUCAGCUCCUGAGGCUUCCUCAUUCUUCACGUAGUUCUCAAGCCUUGGCUUUCAGCUCCAUCAGCUCUUUUAAGCACUUCUCUGUAUUGGUUAUUCUAGUUAUACAUUCGUCUAAAUUUUUUUCAAAGUUUUCAACUUCUUUGCCUUUGAUUUGAAUUUCCUCCUGUAGCUCGAAGUAGUUUGAUCGUCUGAAGCCUUCUUCUCUCAACUCGUCAAAAUCAUUCUCCAUCCAGCUUUGUUCCAUUGCUGGUGAAGAAUUGCGUUCCUUUGGAGGAGGAGAGGCGCUCUGCUUUUUAGAGUUUCCAGUUUUUCUGCUGUGUUUUUUCCCCAUCUUCGUGGGUUUAACUACUUUUGGUCUUUGAUGAUGGUGAUGUACAGAUGGGUUUUUGGUGUGGAUGUCCUUUCUGUUUGUUAGUUUUCCUUCUAACAGACAGGACCCUCAGCUGCAGGUCUGUUGGAGUUUUCUAGAGGACCACUCCAGAUCCCGUUUGCCUGGGUAUCAGCAGCGGUGGCUGCAGAACAGCAGAUUUUCAUGAACCACGAAUGCUGCUGUCUGAUGGCUCCUCUGGAAGUUUUGUCUCAGAGGAGUACCUGGCCAUGUGAGGUGUCAGUCUGCCCCUACUGGGGGGGUGCCCCCCAGUUAGGCUGCUCGGGACCCCCAAUUUGUUUGUGUAUCUCAGGGUGAGUUUGUGCCAUUUUCUGUUAGCCUUAUUGGUCUCUGUGUCUGUGGUGCACUUCAUUCAUCAGCGUCUGUGUUUGUUUGCAUUUUUUACUUGUCUCUCCAUCUAUUUCUCUGAUUUUGUUACAUUUUACAUUUUAAGUUUCAUUAUAUUUUCCAUUCACAUAUUAUACAUGCACAACUAUAUGGCAGACCAUGUUAUUUUAAAACAUGCAUACAAUAUACCAAAUAAUGGUAUUUAUUCAUCUCCUCUAAUGUUCCUCGUGAUUAGAACCCUAGGAAUUCUCUCUUCUAUUUAGAAAUAUAUAAUGCAUUGUUAUUAAAAAUAGUGACCCUGCUGUGCAAUGGAAUACCAUUGCUUCUUUUUUUUCAAUUUAACUACUUUUUUUGUAUUUAUUUACCAACUUCUUCCUAUCCCUACAUUUCUAAUUCUUUCUAGACCCCCAUAACCACUAUUCUUCCCUAUAAUUCUAUGAGAAAAUUUUUUAGAUUCCACAUAUAGGUCAGAUAAUGUGUUAUUUUUAUUCCUACACCUAGGUUAUUUUGCUUAGUUACAUGUAAAGGAAUAUACAUGGUAUGUGGCAUGGCAAAUGAUAAAAGUUCAUUUUUAAUAGAUAUAUACUAUUUCAUUGUGUGUGUGUGUACAUAUACCACAUUUUAAAUUCAUUUGUCUGUUUAUGAACAUCCAGGUUUAAUAUUGUAUUGUUCAUGGUGAAUAGUGCUGUAAUAAACAAAAAAGAGCAAAUAUUUAUUUGACAUGCUAAUUUUCUUUCCCUUGCCUACAUACUCAGUGGUGCAGAUUGUUCAGUCAUGUGGAAACUUUCAUGUAAAUUUUUUAGAGAUCUACAGAAUGUCUUCCAUACUGAUUCUACUAAUUUACAUUCCAUCCAAGAGGAUGUUUUGUGCAGUUCCCCACUUUUCUUUUCUCCACAUCCCUGGCAAUACUUGUUAUUCUUUUGCAAUUUUUAGUUAUAUCCAUUAUUAUUCUAAUAGAUUCACUGAGCUGAAAGGACUUGUCAUAUUUUCUUAUGGGUUUUCCUGGCAUUUCUCCAAUAAAAAUUAUGUUGAACUUUUAUUUAGAAAUGUGUUGGAAGUAUCUGUGUCAUUUUUGGAGAAAUGUCUAUUUACAUCUUUUGAACAUUUUUAAUUAGAAAAUUUUUGGCUAUUGUUUCUUAUUUGUUCUGGAUACUAAGUUUUUUUCUUUUUUUUCCUUUUGUUUUGGAGAUGGAGUCUUACUCUGUCACCCAGGCUGGAGUGCAGUGAUGCAACCUUGGCUCACGGCAACCUCUGCUUCCCAGAUCAAACGAUUCUCCUACCUCAGCCUCCUGAGUAGCUGGGAUUACAGGUGUGUGCCACCACACCCA